rnacentral:lncRNA from 1 species
UCCUACACCAGCCACCGUGUAGUGUAGUGGUAGUGGAUGGCGUAGUGUAGUGUGGUGUAGUAUGGUAAAAUCCCGAUUACACUUGCCUGGUCUCCCAUAUAGUGUAGUGUAUGGCGUAGUGUAGUGUAGCAUAGUGUAGUGAAACCGGGUUUUUUUUUUAAUUUUAUGACUCCUGAUAUAGUGUAGUGUAUGGUGUAGUGUAGUAUAGUAUAGUAUAGUGAAAACGGGUCUUUCUACAAAUGUGUCCUUCCCCUGAUCAGCAGUAGCAGUCCCCAAAUCCUACAAUUCCCUUCUAGAACUUGCCGGAAUAUUUUUUUCCCUACGUCACGACUACAACAACAUGUAUGAGCUAAUCAGGAACAUUUCGGAAUCGAUGGGGACGAUAGCUUAUCACUUUGGCGUACAAAUUAAUCAGGGACCAUUGUCGGAAGAAAACCCUGAGCCGGCUGCGUUGGCUGAACAUUUUGAGAUAGUGGAAAAAAGGGGAACGUGUGUUUGAAGAAGGUGAAUGUAUGGAUGAAGAAUGUGAACAUUUGGAUGAAGAAAUAGAACGUUUGGAUGAAGAAGGUGGGGAUGAAAUUGCCGGCAACUUGAUCUAUGCAGACGCUAAUAAUAUUCAAGAAAGGCAGUUCCCAUUAAAGAAAUUAGAGAGUUUGACAUUAUUGGAAGUUCAGCUGCAGGGACAAAACCAUUCAAAGGAGAAUUUGGCUUUAACAUUCUCGAGACGGAAUUUACAUCAGAAGACCAAGAAAUUUUCAUCAUCGGUCUUCUGGAAUACAUCUUUAAACACCGGCUGGUGAAGAUGAUAAUUUUUUCUCGAAACGUGAGAAGCCCAAAACAUCCCAUCUUAUUGUCGCCGUUGUACGACGUAAUCAAAAGAGCAGCAAUGUUGAAAUUCGGGAACAACCAAUUUGUGGACAAAGCCAUCAGAAAAUGGAUAAAGCUCCAACCCUAAGUCAGAAGGGUGAAAGAAGAGACGCAACUGAGGGAGGCCAUCCAAAUAAUGUAACAUGUAAAAAAAAAUUCUUGCCUCUACAUGGAAAUGUCCCCUUUCCCUUCGCUCCUAAGUUUCGCCCCGUUUCCUUAACCUGUGGUGUUACUUCAUGAUUUAAACUUGAAAAUCUUCCACUGAUACGCGACGUAUAAAUAAACUAAGAAAU